UAAUGAGGGCAUAGAAAAGGAGUUAUGAGCUGGUACUCAUAACUCCCGUGUAGAACCGUUAAAGACGGUGGCUAGUAAAACAAAAAUUUUAGU
rnacentral:sRNA from 1 species